CCUUGCCAGCCCGCUCAGAACUUAAAUGAAUUGACGGGGCCCGCACAAGCGGAGGAGCAUGUGGUUUAAUUCGAUGAUACGCGAGGAACCUUACCUGGGCUCGAACGUAAGAUGACUGUAGGUGAAAGCUUACAUCUCUUCGGAGCAUUUUACGAGGUGCUGCAUGGUUGUCGUCAGCUCGUGCCGUGAGGUGUCGGGUUAAGUCCCAUAACGAGCGCAACCCCUACCUUUAGUUGCCAUCAGGUAAUGCUGGGGACUCUAAAGGAACUGCCUACGCAAGUAGUGAGGAAGGCGGGGAUGACGUCAAAUCAGCACGGCCCUUACGUCCAGGGCUACACACGUGCUACAAUGGCCGAUACAGAGGGCAGCUACCUGGUGACAGGAUGCAAAUCUCCAAAGUCGGUCUCAGUUCGGAUCGGAGUCUGCAACCCGACUCCGUGAAGUUGGAUUCGCUAGUAAUCGCGCAUCAGCCAUGGCGCGGUGAAUACGUUCCCGGGCCUU
rnacentral:rRNA from 1 species